AGUCAGGCGGUGAAAGUCAAUGGCUNAACCAUUGAAUNGCCGGUGAAACUGGAUAACUUUAAGUUGAGUCGAGGCAGGCGGAAUGCGUAGUGUAGCGGUGAAAUGCAUAGAUAUUACGCAGACCCCCGAUUGCGAAGGCAGCUUGCUAGACUUUAAACUGACGCUGAUGCACGAAAGCUUGGGGAGCGAACAGGAUUAGAUACCCUGGUAGUCCAGGCAGUAAACGAUGAUCACUGGUUAUUGGCGAUAGAGAGUCAGUGACUGAGCGAAAGCAUUAAGUGAUCCACCUGGGGAGUACGUAGGCAACGAUGAAACUCAAAGGAAUUGACGGGGGCCCGCACAAGCGGAGGAACAUGUGGUUUAAUUCGAUGAUACGCGAGGAACCUUACCUGGGCUUGAACUAUAGGUGAUGUAUGCAGAGAUGCAUACUUCCGCAAGGACACCUAUGGAGGUGCUGCAUGGCUGUCGUCAGCUCGUGCCGUGAGGUGUCGGGUUAAGUCCCAUAACGAGCGCAACCCCUAUCACUAGUUGCCAUCGCAUUUUGGCGGGGACUCUAGUGAGACUGCCACCGUAAGGUGAGAGGAAGGUGGGGAUGACGUCAAGUCAGCACGGCCCUUAUGUCCAGGGCUACACACGUGUUACAAUGGCCGGUACAGCGAGUAGCGAGGCAGAGAUGCUGAGCGGAUCUUGAAAAUCGGUCGUAGUUCGGAUCGGAAUCUGCAACUCGAUUUCGUGAAGGUGGAUUCGCUGAUAUCGCGCGUC
rnacentral:rRNA from 1 species